rnacentral:rRNA from 1 species
GGCUCAGGAUGAACGCUAGCUACAGGCUUAACACAUGCAAGGUCGAGGGGCAGCAUUGGGAUAGCUUGCUAUUCAGAUGGCGACCGGCGCACGGGUGAGUAACGCGUAUCCAACCUUCCUGCCUAGUAGGGAACAGCCCGGCGAAAGUCGGAUUAAUGCCCUAUGUUCUUCAAUGCGGACAUCUAAGUUGAAGGAAAGAUUCAUCGCUGGCAGAUGGGGAUGCGUCCGAUUAGCUUGCCGGCGGGUAACGGCCCACCGGGGCGACGAUCGGUAGGGGUUCUGAGAGGAAGGUCCCCCACACUGGUACUGAGACACGGACCAGACUCCUACGGGAGGCAGCAGUGAGGAAUAUUGGUCAAUGGGCGUAAGGCCUGAACCAGCCAAGUAGCGUGCAGGAUUGACGGCCCUACGGGUUGUAAACUGCUUUUAUGCGGGGAUAAAGUGCGGCACGUGUGCCGCUUUGCAGGUACCGCAUGAAUUAAGGACCGGCUAAUUCCGUGCCAGCAGCAGC